GCUGAAUAUACCGGUUCUCGUUAGAUCACCGAAGUCAAGCAUCAUUGGGCGCGGUCAGUACUUGGGUGGGUGACCACCGUGGAACACACCGUGCCGUUG